rnacentral:lncRNA from 1 species
CGCUUUCUGCAAGUCUGUCCAAUUUCAGUUUUUUGUCUCUGCGAGUGAUUUGGGCAGUUUCUGCGAGUGAUUUGGGCAGAUUACUGGCCCAAUCACUUUUUUGCGCGUUGGCUCCGGGCUUCUGUUUCUGCGGGUGAUUUGGCCAAGUCAUUGACCCAAUCAGUCUCCUGUGAGGUAGUUUAGGUUUUUGCUUUAGCUUGAUUUGGGCAGUGAUUUGGGCAAAUCACUGACCCAAUCACUUUUCUGUCAUUUUCUGCAUUUUUUCUCCAUUUUUCCAAUUUCUUCCUUUUCUGUAAAAACAAGGUAAAAACUAUAAAUUAAGCUAAAUAAUGUGUAAAUAAACAAUAAUAAAGAUAAUAAAAAUGUGGCUAAAUUAUGCUUGAUCAAAUACCCCCACACCUAGCUUUUUGCUUGUCCUCAAGCAACAAAUAACUUAGUCAAUCAAGCUCCUUUUUCUUUUGAGCCUAAGUACCACUUAAUCAGCCCCCCACUAGACUCCUAAAUUGAAGUAUCACAGUAUAGAGUACAUGCACCAAGGUUAUUCUUCUCUUUUCCUUGUUUCCCCUGACCUAUCAUGGUCAAAGGAAAGGUUUUUUAUUCAAUCAUGCUUAUUCUCUAUGUAUAAGCUCAAUGCAAUCUCUAAGAGUGACUUGCCCUUCUUUGAGCAUUUUAUUUUAUUUUAUUCAGCAACACUUUUUUAUUCUUACCUGAAAAAGUCACUAACCUUUUUACGCGAAGAUGCAUAUUGGUGAUACCCACCCCCGGUUACUCAGUUAGUCACUUGUUCAAGUGGCUACUAGCUCUGUUCAUAGCUUAUUUGGCCAUUGGAACAGGUUUAUGAUUUGUGCUUUGUGCUGGUUUUUCUUUUUCUUUUCUUUUCAUGACAGUUUGGGCAAAUCACCUCAUAGGGAGUUACACUAACUUUUUAUUUGCACGUAUUUAUAUUUUUGUUUCCUUUGACCAAAGCAAAUUUAGAGAUUCAAUUCAAGAAAAGAACUUCCAAAGUGAAGGUAGCACACUAUAAUUGAUUCAAUUUAAACUUAAAGGGGUGGUAAAUCAAUGGGGUCAUGAGAUAGGAAGCUCUUUUAACCUUGUUAUCUAUGUUGAGUAGAGCAAAAGCUAAGUCAAAAUUAUGUGUGUGUGUGUGCAAAAAGUGAAAAAUGUGUGAAAAAAAAAAAUUUUGGUGUGUGUUUAUGGGGCAAAAAGAUGCAAAAAGAAACACAAAAAGAAAAAGAAAGCAAAAAAAUAAUGCAAUCAAUGCAAAAAUAUAGCCUAGCAGUAAAUACCCCCACACCUAUCCCAAACAUUAUCCUCAAUGUUUAAACAUAAAUAUGAAGAAAAUUAAUAAGGAGAAGGAAAGGGACUGCCUGGGAUGUGGGUGAUUAGGCCAAGUGAUUUGGGCAAAUCACUGGUCAAAUCACUGUCGUGGCUGGUUUGUGGGCAGAAAAUGUUGAACCAGCAGCUGCAACAUGCUUUCCAUGUGCUGCAUCCUGUCUUGAGCCUCCACCGAAUGGUCUUGAGGUGCCUUUUAUGUCCUCCAAGGUCCACCCAAUUGCUUUUUUGUGCUUCCUCAACACAUCAAGGAGCUUUUCCUCUUCUUCUUGGCUGAGCUGGUUAGAAAUAAUUACUGGAAGUGUAUUUCCAGCUCCCAAGUAGGCAUAUUUGAGGUGGCUGGGCAAGGGCUUCAGAUCUGGUGCAGUUGCUGUCUGGGACUCUGCUUGCUGAUUGGGGCAGAUUUGGUGUUGAUUUGGGCAAAUCACUCUCUACCAUGUCUAUCUGCUCCAGUGAUUUAGGUAAGACGGGGUCUGUUUGCUUAGGUGAUUUGGGCAGAUCAUCUAUGAUUUGGGCAGAUCUCCUGUUGAUUUGGGCAGAUCACCCUCUGUCAUGUCUGUCUGCUCACUAAUUUGGGCAGAUUGUCUGGGUGAUUUGGGUUGAUCACCUUCUGUCAUGUCUGUCUGCUCAUUGAUUUGGGCAGAUUGUUUGGGUGAUUUGGGCAGAUCACUGCCUUUAUCACUUUCUGGCAGAUUUUUUCCAUGGCCUGUUUUUGCAAUUUUUCAGCCCUACUGUCUUGCAGCUCUUUUCCACUCCUCAAUGUGAUGGCACUAGCAUUUUGCCUUGGAUUUAUCUCAGUUUGGGAAGGUAGCUUUCCUUGUGAUUCAAGCUUACUCAAGGAUGAAGCCAUUUGUCCCACUUAUUGCUUCUUUGCUGGCUAUUCAGGAGCUGUUUGAGUGGUGUAUGUUGCUGGUUCAGCGAGUGCAACAACUUUUGGUUCAUUGGUGUCAAUUUCUGAGGUUGCUGGUGUUUGGACAGCAACAAGGGAUGUAAUGCUGGCAGAUUCAGCACUUGCUGAUUUUUGGACAGCAGGUUCAGCAAUUGCUAAUGUAAUUGUGGAAUUUUCAGUAGGUGGACAGCAACUGUUGUCUCUAUUUGCAGUAGGUUGGACAGGCAGAUUUCCAGCUUGAAUUUCAGCUUCUUCACGUGUAACAGGGGGUUCUGCCAUUGCUGGAUUUUCUGCAGUAAUCUGGAACUUAGUUUCUGGUGCAAUUUCAACAGUGGUAGGCGUGGCAGUGGGUGAUUUUGCUGGUGCAGAAAAUUCUUCAGCAGGUGCAGCAGCAAAAUCUGUAGGUGUAGAAAAAUCUGCUGGUGCAGAAAAUUCUGCAGUAACCUGGAAUCGGGUAUUUGGUUCAAAUGUAGCAGUGGCUAGUGUGGCAGUAGAUGGACUUGCUGGUGUAGAAAGUGUUACAGCAAUAAAUUCAAUAUUUUUGACAGUAGGAGCUGUCUCUUGGGAGACAGAAGCUUCAACAAGCGUUGUUUGGGCAGUAGCUGGUUCAGCUUCAAGUGUAGUAGUGAUUUGUGCAGCAGACUCAACAGCUCGGUCUGUCUCUUCGUCAUCAUCCCAUAGAUCUUGAAGCUCUUCCUCUCGUCUUAAUAUGUAUGCGUCCACUGAGUUGACAGCUUGAUCCACUUGCUGUUGGAGAAUUUUCCCAGAAAUUUCCAAUUUCCUCACCAUCUCUUCAAGUUCCAUAUUGGAGUUUUGAGGUGUUGCUUGGGCUUGAUAGUUUUGGUAGUAGUUAGGCCUUGCAUAGUCAUAAUUCGGAUGGUCCCUCCAACAUGGAUUGUAGGUAUCAAGGUAGGGAUCAUGUCUUGGCUGGCUAUUAAAUCCUCCAAAGGCAUGUACUUGCUGGUAAUCCUCAUAAAGUGUAGGACAUCGAUCAGUUGGGUGUCCUACAUAUGUGCAAAUCUCACAUGGUCUGAUUCGCUGAAGUUGUUGAACUUGUUGAGCUUGACCUAUGCCAUAAUUUCUCACAAUAGAGGUUAGUUCAGAAAUUUGAGAAGACAAAAAAGACAUACUUACCGUAGCCAUGCUUGUAAGGUCUUGGCAGUGCGUUCAAUUUCUGGAUCGUAAAGAAUAGCUUCUUUACGAUCAGCCCUGGUCAUAAAAGGAAAAUACGUUAGUUAGAUCAAAUCCCCGGCAACGGCGCCAAUUUUUGAUAAGCGGUUGUCGAAGCUGUCAAGAAUAAACCUAUUAAACAAUCUACAAUUAACUUGUAGAUAAUGGCAAUAGGGUCGAACCAUAGGGAUUUGACACUACAGAUUUUCCUACUAAUGACUUGGACAAGUAAAUAACAACAAAUUAAAAGAGGGGAUUUUGUUUUGAUGAUUAAAACUAAAUAGCAAGAGAAAGCAAUAAUUUAAAUAGAUGAGAAUUUCAAUAGGAGAAGAAUUCUAGUUGAAGAAUGGAUCUAUUUCAGUUUGUUUAAAAUUGAUCAUUGAUCUUUUCGAUACUCCUAUUUAUUUCAAUAAAUUAGUUUAGGAUGUGGAAGACGCUUCUCACAAUCCAAAUUCCUCCUUAGUUCUAGUUUGAUUAGGAAACGUUCGCUAAUCAAACACUAGUUAACAAGUUGCCAAGGAACGUCCUUGGGGCUUUUAGCAUCGAACAACUGUUAACUGCAUUAAGACUUAGAGAAAUCUAAUUCUAACAUUGCCAACCGCGUGGUCAAGUUUAGAUUGUGCAACUUGAUUAAAUGUGUGUUUAAAUAAUCUAAGCAAUUACGGACCUAAAUUAUUCAAACAAUUGUUACUCAAGCAAUUAAAAGCAAUAGGCCUAAAUUGAUUCUAAAAGCAAAGCAACAAUUAUAGAAAGAUCAAAUUCCAUAAAUAUUGAAAAUAAAUAGAAGUUUAACAAUGGAGAUUUAAAUCUCCCAAUUCAUCACAAAUCUGAAUUUUCCAACUUCAACUAGAAAAGAUUAGAUUUAGCCACUCAUGGUGGACAAAAUCACAAAAGGAAGAAGAAAGAAGAUGGAGAGGCUGCUGCAGACUUGCUGCUGUGAUUCUGCAGUAUUGCUGAAGAUGAGAUGCCAUUCUGGUUUGGAUGCUGCCCUUAUAUAGCUGGAGAAUCCCAAUUCCAAUUUGAUUAGGGUUUUGAAAUCUCAAUUUGAUUUGGUCUUCUUUGCAGUCUUUGAUUCCUCUUUGGACUUUGUAUUUGAUUGAGAAUGGAACUCUCUAAGUGAAGGGCGUGGCUCUUGGGACUGAUCUUGUGGUGUUUGAAGUGGACUUGGACUUCUGUUCUUUGAAUUUGGAUUUUCUGCUCUUUUUCCGCUUCUGCCGUCAAUUCUGCUGUCAAUGUGAUUGGGGCAGUGAUUUGGGCAGAUCGCUUGGUCUAUCUGCCUCGAUCGCUUUCUGCAAGUCUGUCCAGUUUCAGUUUUCUGUCUCUGUGAGUGAUUUGGGCAGUUUCUGCGAGUGAUUUGGGCAGAUUACUGGCCCAAUCACUUUUCUGCGCGUUGGCUUCGGGCUUCUGUUUCUGCGGGUGAUUUGGCCAAGUCAUUGACCCAAUCAGUCUCCUGUGAGGUAGUUCAGGUUUCUGCUUUAGCUUGAUUUGGGCAGUGAUUUGGGCAAAUCACUGACCCAAUCACUUUUCUGUCAUUUUCUGCACUUUUUCUCCAUUUUUUCAAUUUCUUCCUUUUCUA